rnacentral:rRNA from 1 species
UACGAAGGGGGCUAGCGUUGUUCGGAAUCACUGGGCGUAAAGGGUGCGUAGGCGGGUCUUUAAGUCAGAGGUGAAAUCCUGGAGCUCAACUCCAGAACUGCCUUUGAUACUGAAGAUCUUGAGUUCGGGAGAGGUGAGUGGAACUGCGAGUGUAGAGGUGAAAUUCGUAGAUAUUCGCAAGAACACCAGUGGCGAAGGCGGCUCACUGGCCCGAUACUGACGCUGAGGCACGAAAGCGUGGGGAGCAAACAGG